GGUGUUCUGAUGAAAGUGAUAAUGAAAUAAUUAACAACAUAUUUAAUGAUGCUUAUACAGGUUUCUCAUUAAAUAAAAAAGAACACGUUGUUACAAUAAAAAAUAAAAUAGCUGAUGUGUUAGAUACCUUUGUUAAAAACGGGAAUAAAGAAUUAUGUUCUUAUUUUGUUAAUGACUCUAAUGAAGAUAAAAAGAACUUACCUAUGUAUGUGUGUAUAGAAAAAAAAGAAUAUACAUUAAAAGAUAUGAUAAUCUUAUUAGAUUGUUAUAGUUUUAGUUCUCAAAAAAAGUUACUAUUUAGAAUAUAUUAUAUUAACAUGUUUAAUAGCUUUAAUAAACGAGAAGACAUUUAUCAUUUAUUUUUUUUUUUUUCUUUAAUGGAUUAUUGUAUAUUAAAUAUAUGGAAAUGUUUAAAAUUUAAUUUAAAACUUGUUAACUUUAUCAAUAAUUAUAAAUCAGUUAUUUUUCAUUUUGCUCGUCACAUGAAAUCUGAAUUAUAUAUGUAUAUUUCAUUUUUAUUGUUAAUUGUUUUUGGUAAAGAUCAUGAAGAAAUUGAAACCAAUAAAUUUUAUAAUAAAAAGAAAACUGAAUUAGAAGCAUACGUAAAAAUGAAUAAAGACAACACUUUAAAAUUUUAUCAAGUUCAUGUAUAUUCACGAAUAUUAAAAAGUGUUGAAUUAUUUAAUGAUAUAUUUGAUGUAUAUAAGGAAGAAAAUGAGAGUAUAUCAUGUAUCCACUUUGCAGUUAUCUUCAUGGUGCUUAUCAUAUAUCCAUUUAAUAAGAACAUUGCUGAUACUGGCAUGAAUGAUAGUAUAAGUGAUAAUAUAAAUGGUAUCAUAAGUGAUGGCAUAAAUGGUACCAUAAGUGGUGCCAUAAAUGACGACACAAAACCGGAUGAACAACUUAUGAAUAAUGAAUAUUUUUCUAUAAGUAAUAAAAAUUAUAAUUUAGAUAAAACCCGUUUAUGUACAUUUUUACAUUUAAACGAAGAAAAUGUACUCGAAAAUAAUAAUGAACAAGAAGAAUCGAAUCCCUUAAUUUCUUACAUAAUCGAAUUUGUUGAAUUUUUAUUUUAUGAUCAGUUUUAUUCAAAAAAUUGUAAUUUAGUUUAUGAAAAAAAAAAUGAUAAUUAUGAAUAUAUUUUUAAUAGUUAUACCUAUGACAACGUGAAUUAUUUGAAAGAAUACCUAAAAAAAAUUAAGGAAUCUUUUUGUUUUGGUUAUUAUGAAAAUAUACAAAACCUAAUGAAUAAUCAAUUUGUUAAACAAAUGGAAAAACCAAAUUCAAUCAUUAAUUAUCUUGGUUUAUUUUAUAAUAAAAAAGUUUUAAAAAAUGCGUUAAUUUUAUUAAACAUUUAUAAUAUCAUAACACAAAAUGCUAAAAAAAGGUAUAGCCAGACUUAUUUAUAUUUAUCUUUAAAAGUAUUAAAUACGCUUUUAUUUUU
rnacentral:lncRNA from 1 species